rnacentral:rRNA from 1 species
UGGGGAAUAUUGCGCAAUGGGGGAAACCCUGACGCAGCGACGCCGCGUGCGGGAUGAAGGCCUUCGGGUUGUAAACCGCUUUUGAUUGGGAGCAAGCUUUCGGGUGAGUGUACCUUUCGAAUAAGCGCCGGCUAACUACGUGCCAGCAGCCGCGGUAAUACGUAGGGCGCAAGCGUUAUCCGGAAUUAUUGGGCGUAAAGCGCGCGCAGGCGGACUAGCCAGUCAGUCUUAAAAGUUCGGGGCUUAACCCCGUGAUGGGAUUGAAACUACUAGUCUAGAGUAUCGGAGAGGAAAGUGGAAUUCCUAGUGUAGCGGUGAAAUGCGUAGAUAUUAGGAAGAACACCAGUGGCGAAGGCGACUUUCUGGACGAACACUGACGCUGAGGCGCGAAAGCCAGGGGAGCGAACGGG